rnacentral:lncRNA from 1 species
UACAGUUGUAGCUGCGGCAGUGGCGGUGGCUGCGGCAGCUAUGUUUGGGAAAGAAAAAGAAGGAACAAGAGAAAGAAAAAAGGAAGUAGUGUAGUGGAAGGGGCUAUAGUGGUGGCUAAAACUGCGACUGUUGCUAUGGUUACCGUUGCAACUAUGGCAGUGGUACCUACGACUGGGAAAAAGAAGAUAGAUACAUAAAAUAAAAUAG